AGGAAGCAGCAGCCUCCGCUCCGCGGCGGGUGUGCUCGGCAGUCACAGACCCACUCAGGACACCUCCCGUUGCCGACGGGCUAGACCUGCCUUAAAGGGGUCCCCGUGUCUCUCCAGUCUAGAGCCUAAGUUCAAACGAGGCGUAUAGGCGAGGACAGCAGGAAGGCUCCAAGUCAAACAAACGGAUGGUACGAAUUUCGCCUGGUCUAGCCCUGCCCCAACGGUGUGGGUGUGGGUUGGGUGCUGCAGCCCCCGAGCAAGGGGCUGUCACAGCCACAACCAGAGGAGCUAUGGAGCUGCUACGGAGGAGGGAUUCCAGAGUCAGCUUGGGCUUGUCCCAAGGGAGCCCUUGGGACAGUGUCUGGGGCUGCGCGGCCUGGUUCUCAUCCCUUGCAGCAUCUGCUAUUUUAGCCAGGGGCCACCUUCCUCCAAUGGCCUGGGAGUAGCUAGAGGUUAGAGGUUACACCCACCAGAAGGGAUGUAAGCCCAGGAAGUAGUCAGAAAGGAAAGGUCAUUCUAGAGAUGGGGCCACCUGAAAAACCUUCAGGAGGAAGGAGAAAGGAAAUGGGAUAAGUGUCAUGUCAUACUAAAUAUUUAUUUUCUGCAGACUGACUUCGGAGUAAUUCUUGAGCCAGGAGGGGAGAGGUUAGUGUUCAAAUUGCUGAGAUCUUAGGUCAAAAAGCUACAGAAAAGAAAUCACUUUGAAAAACACAAUGACUCAGAGGCAGUCACCCCUUGCCAGCAAUUCCAAGAGCUGAGGAGGCUUCAUGCCUCAGGACAUGGUGACUAGUUGAGUGAACCAGAGAUUGAGGCAGUGGUUUUUACAGGGGAAGAAACAAGCCUUGGGUGUAUGGGAGCAGGAAAGGAGGGUGACAGACUGGAGAAAUGAUAAAGGCCAUUUUGGAAGCCCACAGGGAAGUGGUCUUGGGAAACCUGAAGACACUGGGAUAUUCAGAAGGCCAAGGGGAUCCAGCUUAUCCUGUUGGGCAAGGUGCUGGGAGUGAAGGCAGGUCACCUGAAUGAUACUGGUGCCAUUUCUGAAGUUGGUGAAACUCCGCAUUACAUCCUGACUCAGAGAUUCCACUGAUGAUUUCCAGGAACUACCAAAGCCACGGAUCAGCUGAGUUACCCGGGCUAAUAGCAGGAGGAAACAGUGUCAGAGAGGGAUCUGGCUGAUCUUCAACUCCACUAAGUUCUCCCCAAGGUAUAGCCAUCCUUAUCAUCAAACCCUCUUUUCUGGUAUUCUCUCAAUCCAGUCUUUCAUACUCUAUUCCCCCACCAUGUAAUCUGCAUCCUUUCAUUUUUCUUUUCCACUUCCCUUACCACUGAUCCCAUCAUUACCAUAUUUUCCUCAUACCUUCUUCCCCUCGAAGUCGCUCAGCCUGUCCACGCUCAAUCAAAGCCUCAGCCUCCUUCACAAAUGCCACUAAACCCCCAAAAGGGGGAGACAGCAACUCUUCAAUGAAUUCCUGGAAAGACACAAACACAUAUACACAGGUGUCCUGGUGUCAGCAGAUUUGCCCAAUUCUGGCAUCAUGACUAAUGUAGAUCCAUCUGAAUGGCAUCUUUCAGCUGCUGCAAAAGUUAAGGAAAAUCCUCUAUGGAGAAAAAUAUCCUCAAUCCUAAUUUUGGCCCAUACAGUUCCCCUGGUUAAGAUCAAACAAUGAACUCAAAGAUCACUAGACACAAAAGAAGGGCAGCUACCAAGAGAGUCAGCAGACACAAUAAGCAAUAGCUGCUGACCUUAAGAACUAUCCGAUACGGAUAGCAGUUGUACUGUGUGCAAUGUCUAAAGUUAAGGAUAGGCCGGGCACAGUGGCUCACGCCUGUAAUCCCAGCACUUUGGGAGGCUGAGGUGGGCAGAUCACCUGAGGUCAGGAGUUCAAGACCAGCCUGGCCAACAUGAUGAAACCCCAUCUCUACUAAAAAUACAAAAAUUAGCUGGGC
ensembl:lncRNA HCG25 HLA complex group 25